rnacentral:misc_RNA from 1 species
GAAGUGCGAAAAGUGUCAUGACUUGCAGAUUCCCGAGAGCUGACAAACUUCUGAAUGCAAAUGGCGGCCGUCAAAAACGGCCAUGUAUGGCAGAGUGUAGUUGUUCAGACUAAUCACCCCCUUUUCAUCAUACGUUGGUGGCCAGGACAGGUAUCUGCGUUUACUAGCUCUUUGGCCUUCACGGGUCAAAGGGAGUGAACGUGAAACAUCGGGCCCUUCAUUCCAGUAGGGAAACCUACUGGGAUGGGGUGACUUCGGAACAAUAUUAUUUUUUUACUCUUUUUGCGCAAGCAAAAAUGGGUAAAGAGAUAAUAGCGAUUUGAAGUUACAGCGCUCGCGAAUAUAGGUAAUCUACCUCUGCCAUGCAGGAGAACCCGCUGAACUUAA